rnacentral:tRNA from 1 species
GUGGGAAUAGCUCAGCUGGCUAGAGCGCAGGAUUGUGGCUCCUGAGGCCGCGGGUUCGAAUCCCGUUUCUCACCCCA